CUUUGGUCUAAUAGUUUGGAAUGUUUCGGAGUGAAGUCAAUCAUUCAGUGUUCUUUUGUCAUGAUGAGCAUGGUAAAAGUAUUCUUCUUGUACUAUAUUUUGAUGACAUUAUCAUAACAGGUAAUGACCAUGAUGGGAUAUCUCAGCUCAAACAACAUUUGUUCGGCCACUUUCAGACUAAAGAUCUGGGGAGAUUGAAGUAUUUUCUCAAAAUUGAGGUAGUCCAGCUCAAAACAAGCA
rnacentral:misc_RNA from 1 species